CCUACGGGGGGCAGCAGUGGGGAAUAUUGGACAAUGGGCGAAAGCCUGAUCCAGCCAUGCCGCGUGUGUGAAGAAGGCCUUCGGGUUGUAAAGCACUUUCAGUGGGGAAGAAAGCCUUGGGGCUAAUACCCUCGAGGAAGGACAUCACCCACAGAAGAAGCACCGGCUAACUCCGUGCCAGCAGCCGCGGUAAUACGGAGGGUGCGAGCGUUAAUCGGAAUUACUGGGCGUAAAGCGCGCGUAGGCGGUCUGAUAAGCCGGUUGUGAAAGCCCCGGGCUCAACCUGGGAACGGCAUCUGGAACUGUCAGGCUAGAGUGCAGGAGAGGAAGGUAGAAUUCCCGGUGUAGCGGUGAAAUGCGUAGAGAUCGGGAGGAAUACCAGUGGCGAAGGCGGCCUUCUGGACUGACACUGACGCUGAGGUGCGAAAGCGUGGGUAGCAAACAGGAUUAGAUACCCGAGUAGUC
rnacentral:rRNA from 1 species